UCUCCGUUAGUGAACCAGCGGAGGGAUCAUUACAGAGUUGCAAAACUCCCAAACCAUUGUGAACGUUACCUAUCCCGUUGCUUCGGCGGGCGGCCCGGGCCCCGCGCCCGGCGCCCCCCGGCCCCCCGUGGGCGCCCGCCGGAGGUAAACCAAACCCUUGAAUUGCAUGGCCUCUCUGAGUCUCCUGUACUGAAUAAGUCAAAACUUUCAACAACGGAUCUCUUGGUUCUG
rnacentral:misc_RNA from 1 species